rnacentral:ribozyme from 1 species
GGGUAAGCUUGUUCACAUGGUGCACCUUCUCUCACCACCUUCUUUGCACAAAAAGAUGAUUGAUAUCGAAGCCAACCGACCGGAAGCCAAGGCGCUUUUGCUGUCUGAAGUUGAACCGAAAUCAUGACAUGACACUCUUCUU